AUUUUCAUGCUGGCGUUCUCUGAGGCCAGCUUCUCCACUUCCUGCUGCAGCUCUGCCUUCUGCUUCUCCAGUUCCUCCUUCUGGGCCCCGCAGAUGCUGGUUCAGCUCCCGCACAGACAUGGUCACCAGCUCCUCGUCUGUCAAGCUGGUCCCAUUCUCGCCUGGCUCCCUCUUCACCUGGGAGAGAAGGCAGCACACACUUGUGAAACCUGAGGUGGAUGCCCACACCCAUCCCUGCACCCCUUUCCUCCACCCCCCGCGUUACCUUCAAGGCCUUGUUUCCUUUGUUGGGGGUCGUCAUAACACGACAGCCUUGUCAGCUGGGUUCUGGAAGGGAAGGAAGGUCAAAUUAGCACCUGGGGCACGGCAGAGCCCAUGGCAUUCCUCUGGCAGGGUCCAGCAGCAACGCCCCGUGGUGCUCCACAUCCUGGCCCCUGCCGUGGAAGACAAUCAACAAGCAGCCAGCUGAGCUGGACUCACAAUGAGAGAAACUGCUGCCCUUCCAUACCCCUGCUCCCAUGGAGACUUUGUGGCAAUGCUGGUUUUUGUUUAUGGUGGGGGAAAUUAAAGAACUAGGAGGAGUCAGAAUACAUGGAAGCCACAUUUUUAAAAAUAGCCUUGCAAGCAGCAGGCAGGGUCCAGAGCACGGCUGCUCCAGGCCAGUCAUGCUGACUCAGCAGGCUGGCACUCUGCACCACUCGCUCCCAGCCUCAUCCUUGUCCCUCCCAAGCAGGGCAGGUUACCUUAACACGCCCUUCCAACAGGUGCCCAAGCACAGCCCAGGAGCUCCCCAGUCCUACCAGACUCCAGAUGCUCCCAAGGAUGGUUCAGUAAGACAUAACCCUGAGCAAGGGGUACAGGGCAAGCCUUGGACACAUUGGAAUUCCAUCACAAAUUUGGGCUGAUGCCUCAGCAGCCUCCACCUCUCCCAGUCAUGCAAAACUGACCCCAGUUGUAGCUCUUUUCUAUGAGAAAGUACUCGUCAAUCCCUGGCAUGCCAGAGCCCAGAAACACCUUCUUCCUCCUUAUCCUAAGAGCCAAGGUGUGCUCACAAGAAAACAAAGAUUAAAGGUGUCAAAAAUCA